UACGAAGGGGGCUAGCGUUGCUCGGAAUCACUGGGCGUAAAGGGUGCGUAGGCGGGUCUUUAAGUCAGGGGUGAAAUCCUGGAGCUCAACUCCAGAACUGCCUUUGAUACUGGAGAGCUUGAGUCCGGGAGAGGUGAGUGGAACUCCGAGUGUAGAGGUGAAAUUCGUAGAUAUUCGGAAGAACACCAGUGGCGAAGGCGGCUCACUGGCCCGGUACUGACGCUGAUGUGCGAAAGCGUGGGGAGCGAACCGG
rnacentral:rRNA from 1 species